ensembl:snRNA U5 U5 spliceosomal RNA
CGCUCAGGUUUCUCUUCAGAUCGCAUAAAUCUUUCGCCUUUACUAAAGAUUUCCGUGGAGAGGAACAAUAUGAGUUUCAACUAAUCUUGCUCUGCCGUAAGGUUGGG